UCACAGGAAUAGUUGGCAACAAGAUCUGUACAGAUUCCACCAUUCCUGCAGGGUUCAGCUUCACAUUCAUUCACAUCUGCAGGAAUCACACAAAAGGAUGCCAGGAUUAGCAGAGAAAUGGAACCUGUAUUCAAAACAUUAUGAAUAGUGAGUAGGAUAAUCCCAUUGCUGUGAACAGAAAUGCAGAGACAGGUCUCCAGUGGAACAGGAAGGCUACUUUCACUUGCUUGAACCAGAAAGUUUUCAGAUUUUUAUGCUAAAAUUAAUGAUGGCAAUGGAUCCCUGGGCUUCUUUUUAACCCCUCAUGUUUUACCAUUUCUUGCUUGUAAAGAUAUUAGAUACUGGCAUAAUAAAACUUUAGAGUUAGCUGAA